rnacentral:tRNA from 1 species
AUUCAAAUAGCUUAUAUAUUAGAGCGUGACACUGAAGAUGUUAAAGAGAUUAUUAUAAUCUUUGAAUA